GCUGGGCGCGGUGACUCACGCCUGUAAUCCCAGCACUUUGGGAGGCUGAGGUGGGUGGAUCACCUGAGGUCAGGAGUUCGAGGCCAGCCUGGCCAACAUGGUGAAACCCCGUCUCUA
ensembl:misc_RNA Metazoa_SRP Metazoan signal recognition particle RNA